rnacentral:rRNA from 1 species
UACGGAGGGAGUAUCGUGUUCGGUGAAUUAUUGGGCGUAAAGCGCGCGCAGGCGGUCUCUUAAGUCUGAUGUGAAAUCCCGUGGCUUAACCACGGGCGGUCAUUGGAAACUGGGGGGACUUGAGUGCAGAAGAGAAGAGCGGAAUUCCACGUGUAGCGGUGAAAUGCGUAGAGAUGUGGAGGAACACCAGUGGCGAAGGCGGCUCUUUGGUCUGUAACUGACGCUGAGGCGCGAAAGCGUGGGGGAGCGAACAGG